rnacentral:rRNA from 1 species
UAUUGCACAAUGGGGGAAACCCUGAUGCGGCGACGCCGCGUGAGUGAUGAAGUAUUUCGGUAUGUAAAGCUCUAUCAGCAGGGAAGAAAAUGACGGUACCUGACUAAGAAGCACCGGCUAAAUACGUGCCAGCAGCCGCGGUAAUACGUAUGGUGCAAGCGUUAUCCGGAUUUACCGGGUGUAAAGGGAGCGUAGACGGAAUUGCAAGUCUGAUGUGAAAAUCCGAGGCUCAACCCCGGAACUGCAUUGGAAACUGUAUUGCUAGGGUGUCGGAGAGGCAAGUGGAAUUCCUGGUGUAGCGGUGAAAUGCGUAGAUAUCAGGAGGAACACCAGUGGCGAAGGCGGCUUGCUGGACGAUGACUGACGUUGAGGCUCGAAAGCGUGGGGAGCAAACAG